rnacentral:rRNA from 1 species
UACGUAGGGUGCAAGCGUUGUCCGGAAUUAUUGGGCGUAAAGAGCUCGUAGGCGGUUUGUCGCGUCUGCCGUGAAAGUCCGGGGCUCAACUCCGGAUCUGCGGUGGGUACGGGCAGACUAGAGUGAUGUAGGGGAGACUGGAAUUCCUGGUGUAGCGGUGAAAUGCGCAGAUAUCAGGAGGAACACCGAUGGCGAAGGCAGGUCUCUGGGCAUUAACUGACGCUGAGGAGCGAAAGCAUGGGGAGUGAACAGG